AUGGAAAAGCCCAACCAAGAGGUUACAGUACUCACAGUACUCACAAGCCUCUACGUUUUGGGCCUCUCUGUUGUCUCAACCUCGUUCCUCUGGCCUGCCAAGUCACUCAGCUCAGUUCAGGAGCGUCUCAACCUCGUUCCUCUGGCCUGCCAAGUCACUCAGCUCAGUUCAGGAGUGUCUCAACCUCGUUCCUCUGGCCUGCCAAGUCACUCAGCUCAGUUCAGGAGCGUCUCAACCUCGUUUCUCUGGCCUGCCAAGUCACUCAGCUCAGUUCAGGAGUGUCUCAACCUCGUUCCUCUGGCCUGCCAAGUCACUCAGUUCAGGAGUGUCUCAACCUCGUUUCUCUGGCCUGCCUUGUCACUCAGCUCAGUUCAGGAGCGUCUCAACUUCGUUUCUCUGGCCUGCCUUGUCACUCAGCUCAGUUCAGGAGUGUCUCAACCUCGUUCCUCUGGCCUGCCAAGUCACUCAGCUCAGGUGCUCCAGAUGUUGUUGAACCUCUUUCAGGCUGAAACACAGAAAUGUUUAUUGUCAUUGUUUCCGCAUUAGGCCUUUCUAAUGUUAUGUGAAACCAGUCUCCUGUUAUGUGUGAGAGGGAUGAAUCUACAGUACAUACAGGGCUCCUGGCAUUCGAGACUGGGGACUAUGGUAACGUGAGACUGGGGACUAUGGUAACGUGAGACUGGGGACUAUGGUAACGUGAGACUGGGGACUAUGGUAACGUGAGACCGGGAACUAUGGUAACGUGAGACUGGGGACUAUGGUAACGUGAGACCGGGAACUAUGGUAACGAGAGACCGGGGACUAUGAUAACGUGAGACCGGGGACUAUGGUAACGUGAGACUGGGGACUAUGGUAACGUGAGACCGGGGACUAUGGUAACGUGAGACCGGGGACUAUGGUAACGUGAGACUGGGGACUAUGGUAACGUGAAACCGGGGACUAUGGUAACGUGAGACUGGGGACUAUGGUAACGUGAGACCGGGAACUAUGGUAACGUGAGACCGGGAACUAUGGUAACUAGAGACCGGGGACUAUGGUAACGUGAGACAGGGGACUAUGGUAACGUGAGACAGGGGACUAUGGUAACGUGAGACCGGGGACUAUGGCAACGUGAGACCGGGGACUAUGGUAACGUGAGACCGGGGACUAUGGUAACGUGAGACCGGGGACUAUGGUAACGUGAGACCGGGGACUAUGGUAACGUGAGACCGGGGACUGACUAUGGUAACGUGAGACCGGGGACUAUGGUAACGUGAGACCGGGGACUAUGGUAACGUGAGACCGGGAACUAUGGUAACGUGAGACCGGGGACUAUGGUAACUAUGGAACAUUUUUCCUUGGCCAAAGUGACAUUUCCUUAAGGACACAGAAAGACAAGGCUAAAGGAAGAACAUAAAUUAGUGUGUCCCAAAGCAAAUACCACAAUGAUAUAUCGUAGACAUAAAAACUCUAAAAACAGUACUUGUCAAAUCAAUGAUUCAUCAUUCAUAGCAGAAAGUCUGACUUUUCUCAAAGACACGACUACUACUCAAAAUGAAGACCGUUACACUCUCAACACAAUGAGGGGGGAAAACGUGGUGUUGAUUGGUAAUCUCUCCACUGGAGGGCAGUAUUUCAUCAUCCACAUACAGUUUUAUGAGUGACACAGAAAGAUAAAAACCUGACGUGUGGGUUUGAGGGAAGUAGUAACAUCCAUAUGAAAGUCCUUGAUGAAAAUGAACAUCACAAGUCUCUCAUAACGACCAUUUGAAACCUUGGCCACCUUGGCCACAACCGCAGAACAUCAGGAAAGCAUGAACAUUCAGUGAAAACAUCCACAAUACAACAAUCAAUAAUAAAUAAAAACAAUCCAUCCCACAAUUGCUUUGAUCACUUGAUCAGUAGAUAAAGAUAAAGAUAAAUUAUUAUUAAAUCAAGAUAAAUUGCUAAAACAAUGCAUAUCUAUCAAAUGAGCCAGAACUAAAAACAGGAAAACAUGAUGAGACGUAAAAAUCUAUUUAUUUAAGUCAGGAAGUAGCCGAUAUCUAUCCAUGAACUGCAGUAAUUACAUUGAGAAAUGGUCGCGGUGGGUGUGUGUUCCUCUAGCUGCUUGGCUUAAAAUAUAGAACACAGGACUCCAGUGAUCAGGGCUGAAUUCCAUGUAGAUCUGCUCUGAGUGUGUGUGUGUGUGUGUGUGUGUGUGUGUGUGUGUGUGUGUGUGUGUGUAUGUGUGUCUCUGUCCUCUGUGUGUGUGUCUGUGUGUGUGUGUGUCUGUGUCUGUCUCUGUCCUCUGUGUCUGUGUGUGUGUGUGUCUGUGUCUGUCUCUGUCCUCUGUGUCUGUGUCUGUGUGUGUGUCUGUGUCUGUGUCUGUGUGUGUUUCUGUUUCUGUGUGUGUGUGUCUGUGUCUGUGUGUGUUUCUGUGUCUGUGUGUGUCUGUGUGUGUGUGUGUGUGUGUGUGUGUGUGUGUGUGUGUGUGUGUGUGUGUGUGUGUGUGUGUGUGUGUGUGUGUGUGUGUGUGUAAAUCUGUUGGCAUCUGCUGAAGGGAUAAACAAAAAGCAGUGAGGCCCGUGAACCCUCAUUAACCUUUUGUUUAUGCGGCGUUGGAAACGAGGUCUACCCAGCAUGCAGCAGUGAUACACUCACACACACACACACACACGGCGGGCUCACGCAGAGCUGAUCGCCAGCUGUCAUGCUCCUCAAACGCUUAGAGAAAAAAACAUAAAUAGCACAUCAUUAUAGUGGAUAUAUAUGAACACAGAUCACUCCAGAAUUGUGAGUGAAAAUUGUGCACAUUCUUCCAACACUCAUAGCCUGCUAUAUGUUUUUAUCAAAUCAAGCAUUCAUUGUGUAAAGGUUUUUAAAAUCCCUGUCAUAUGGAAUAAAUGUAUGUUUUAGUACUUUUUAAAUGAAUUAUAAUUCAUACUAUUAAUGAAUGUAUAUUAUUGUGAAUGUAUACUAUUGUGAAUGUAUAAUAUUGUGAAUGUAUAAUAUUGUGAAUGUAUAAUAUUGUGAAUGUAUACUAUUGUGAAUGUAUACUAUUGUGAAUGUAUACUAUUGUGAAUGUAUACUAUUGUGAAUGUAUACUAUUGUGAAUGUAUACUAUUGUGAAUGUAUACUAUUGUGAAUGUAUACUAUUGUGAAUGUAUACUAUUGUGAAUGUAUACUAUUGUGAAUGUAUAAUAUUGUGAAUGUAUACUAUUGUGAAUGUAUACUAUUGUGAAUGUAUACUAUUGUGAAUGUAUACUAUUGUGAAUGUAUACUAUUGUGAAUGUAUACUAUUGUGAAUGUAUACUAUUGUGAAUGUAUACUAUUGUGAAUGUAUACUAUUGUGAAUGUAUAAUAUUGUGAAUGUAUACUAUUGUGAAUGUAUACUAUUGUGAAUGUAUACUAUUGUGAAUGUAUACUAUUGUGAAUGUAUACUAUUGUGAAUGUAUACUAUUGUGAAUGUAUACUAUUGUGAAUGUAUACUAUUGUGAAUGUAUACUAUUGUGAAUGUAUACUAUUGUGAAUGUAUACUACUAUUCUAUACUGCGUUACUGUUAGCAACCUGUCAACCAUGGCACAUUCACGGUGCUGUAACGUGUACAUGUAAAGACUGUGUUUUGGUUAUUUGUACAUUGUAGACAUCAUUAUUUCCAUGUGACGUUUUAAUAAGAUAUACGUUUACAUUUUGCUUUGAUUGUUGCUUUGUCCAAUAGUUUCUUCAAGAUGACCCCAUUGGUAAUCCAUGUGUAUGUAAAAUAUGUUGGUGGCUCGAAGGGUUAAUAGAUAUAAACCUCUGUUACUUAGAAUGGUGAGUACUAUUUUUUUUUUCACAACUCUAUGUUUAAAGGGAUUAAUAAUGGUAUUUACAAAUGUUAUUCAUGACCUUAAUGAAUAAUAAAUAAAUAAAUAAAUAAACAGAUCUAAUUUGUCGUAAGUAGGGACCCUGCAGUUCCAGCAUGUAGUUUUAUGUAUCUGAGUAAGAACAAAAGGCUAACACACAGACACUAGUCUUUCUUCUUCGUGUUAGCUGGCAGAGAAGCUGACUGAUGCACAGAGACAUUCUAGUCUUUCUUCUUCGUGUUAGCUGGCAGAGAAGCUGUCUGAUGCACAGAGACAUUCUAGUCUUUCUUCUUCGUGUUAGCUGGCAGAGAAGCUGUCUGAUGCACAGAGACAUUGUAGUCUUUCUUCUUCGUGUUAGCUGGCAGAGAAGCUGUCUGAUGCACAGAGACACUAGUCUUUCUUCUUCGUGUUAGCUGGCAGAGAAGCUGUCUGAUGCACACAGACACUAGUCUUUCUUCUUCGUGUUAGCUGGCAGAGAAGCUGUCUGAUGCACACAGACACUAGUCUUUCUUCUUCGUGUUAGCUGGCAGAGAAGCUG
ensembl:lncRNA